GUGUCAGCCGCCGCGGUAAGACGAACCGUGCGAACGUUAUUCGGAAUCACUGGGCUUAAAGGGCGCGUAGGCGGGCCGCAUAGUCAGGGGUGAAAGCCUCCAGCUCAACUGGAGAAGUGCCUUUGAUACUGGCGGCCUCGAGGGGUGCAGGGGCGUGCGGAACUUAGGGUGGAGCGGUGAAAUGCGUAGAUAUCCUAAGGAACACCGGUGGCGAAGGCGGCACGCUGGACACCUUCUGACGCUGAGGCGCGAAAGCCAGGGGAGCAAACGGGAUUAGAUACCCGAGUAGUCC
rnacentral:rRNA from 1 species